GGGGCAUUCUAAACAGAUACCAGGGAGCUAGAUAUCCGAGAGGACUGAAGGGAAACAGCAUCUCCUGGACAUGACAGGACCAGUGAACUUACAUAGGUGUAUAUAAGACCUAUGCAGGAUCAAGCAGCCAGUAUUCCAGGGUGGAAGGGUGUGGCUCCUGGUAGGUCCACCAUGGUACAGUGGAUUGUCCCAUGUCCAUGGCUAUCUUGGCAGCAUGAAUUGGACUCAGUAAGCAUUAGGAGGGGCACCUGUCUUAUUAAGAUCUUCAAAAAAGAAGAGAGUGGGCACCCUGUGUUUUAUGGCCUGCUUCAGAACAAGUAGGAGUGGCUUUCCUGCUUCUGCCUUUUCCUCAGCCACAGUUGGGAGAAGCAUGCUCUCAUCCACACUGCUACAAUGUU